ACGGAAGGCAGCAGUGAGGAAUAUUGGUCAAUGGACGGAAGUCUGAACCAGCCAAGUCGCGUGCGGGAUGAAGGCCCUACGGGUCGUAAACCGCUUUUGUACGGGGAUAAAGUCACCCACGUGUGGGUGUUGUAGGUACCGUAAGAAUAAGGAUCGGCUAACUCCGUGCCAGCAGCCGCGGUAAUACGGAGGAUCCGAGCGUUAUCCGGAUUUAUUGGGUUUAAAGGGUGCGCAGGCGGGCUGCUAAGUCGCCGGUGAAAUGUCAGGGCUCAACCUUGGCACUGCCGGAGAUACUGGCGGCCUUGAGAGUGGCGGAGGUAUCCGGAAUUUGUGGUGUAGCGGUGAAAUGCAUAGAUAUCACACAGAACACCGAUUGCGAAGGCAGGAUACCAUACCAUAUCUGACGCUCAGGCACGAAAGCGUGGGGAGCGAACAGGAUUAGAUACCCUGGUA
rnacentral:rRNA from 1 species